CCUUGGAAACAAUCAAACUACUGAAAGAAGGAGCAUAGAAGAUUAACCACAAGACGGUAUACCACAAGUAUACCAGGUUAUCUCUAUUAAAGAGUGCAAAGUUUCUCUCUUAGCUGAGCUAUUUGUUUCUGUUGGCAUGGAAAUGCAUUCCAUUUUAGAACCUUCAGCUUAUACUUGGUGAAAGUUUUUAAUUGCUUUCGGGACUACUGCAGACAUUUCUGGUUAAUUCGAGAAGCAACUUAUUAUUCUUUGUAUGGAGCUCCUUUGUCAUCAUGUUAUUUUAAUAUUUGCAUUCUACCUUUUUAUGACUACUUUCUAUCUCAUGCAGCUUGAAGAUGGUUUAAAGUUAUCUUUCACUGAUAAAAGGCGCCUUGCAAAAGUUUGCUUACUUCAAGAUGUAUUGUCCAUUGCCCCAAUAUGUCCAUCUUUCCUAUAGAUUCUUACAUCUUUAGCGUCAUUAUAACUCUUCACCAAUUUGUUGGUGCCGCCAACUUCUGUACCUCCAAUAGCCGAGCUUGGUCUGGAUGCAUUGUUAGAGCCUAUGAAGGUGGAGGAAUUUGUAGAUUCUUUGAGCAAAAAGAAAAUUGCAAUUAAAGCUCUACUACUCGAUCAGGCCAGAAUUCAUCCCCUGCAGGUUGCUGCAACUUUGUCAAAGGAGAGCUGUGAAACUUUACAUCGCUGCAUCAAAGAGACACUAUUUGUAGGUUGCCAAUUAUGCCCUUGAAGUUGUUGCUGAUUCCAAUUCUUUUCCAAUUGAAUGGUUGUUUCAUUUUCGAUUGGGGAAAAAGUCUGGAAAAGUUAAUGGUAAGUUUCUCAAUGUAUAUGACUGUCUUGACCAUAAGUCAUUUAUUCUACAGGUUAUUGAGAAAGUUGUGGAAGUUGGAGCAGAUAGUAGGUGAUUAUCAUUUGUAGAUGUACAUGUACACUACUGCUCUUAAUAAAAAAACAAAAACAAAAUCAUCAACUCCUUUUUUUUAUGUGAUACUGGCACAAUUAGGCCAAAUCGUAAUGCACAGGACAAAUGUUGUCUUAA